GUGCCUUAAACUAAUGAGUAAGGAAAAUAUAGAGCCUUGGUGACGCUUGGCUCAGCUAGGCAGAUCUAGUAUUUGGAUUUUUGUAUAGGUACAGGUCGUCCUCUGAGUGGGCAGCCUACAUUUGCUGCCUGUUCGAGUGAUAGCGAUCUGCCUG